rnacentral:rRNA from 1 species
UACGGAGGGUGCAAGCGUUAUUCGGAUUUAUUGGGCGUAAAGAGCGUGUAGGCGGUUGGGUAAGUCAGAUGUGAAAGCCUUUUGCUCAACAAAAGAAGUGCAUCUGAAACUGCUUAACUUGAGUACGAGAGAGGAGAGUGGAAUUCCCAGUGUAGAGGUGAAAUUCGUAGAUAUUGGGAGGAACACCUGUGGCGAAGGCGACUCUCUGGAUCGAUACUGACGCUGAGACGCGAAAGCGUGGGGAGCAAACAGGAUUAGAUACCCGCGUA